GGGGGAAUAUUGCACAAUGGGCGAAAGCCUGAUGCAGCAACGCCGCGUGAGCGAUGAAGGCCUUCGGGUCGUAAAGCUCUGUCCUCAAGGAAGAUAAUGACGGUACUUGAGGAGGAAGCCCCGGCUAACUACGUGCCAGCAGCCGCGGUAAUACGUAGGGGGCUAGCGUUAUCCGGAAUUACUGGGCGUAAAGGGUGCGUAGGUGGUUUCUUAAGUCAGAGGUGAAAGGCUACGGCUCAACCGUAGUAAG
rnacentral:rRNA from 1 species